UUUAUUAGUCAUUUUUUAGCCAAAUGCACAGGUCCAAAUUCAUUUGUUAAUAAAAAAAAAACGAUAUUUCCCGUUUUUCUUCAAGAAUUUAAGCAUUAGCCUAAUGCUUAGGCUACAUAAACACUAUCGAGGAGUGUAAUAAGAAGGCCUUUAAGACGCAUCCAGUGCAGCUGAAGAGGAGCUGUCCAGGAGCGGUGGUGGUGUCUCUCUAGACAUAUGGAUGGGGUUAACGGCUUCCCAUCUGGCCUGAGCUGGGCCAACGGGUUCGCGGACCAGACGGUGGAUUGUGUGCCCAGCAAACGCAAGAGGAGCUGCGUGCAGGGGGAUGGAGCGCAUGGCAGUAGUACACAUGGAGAUGGUGCACAGCAAGACCACAAAGCCUAUCCCGUUCAUCCGGCUCCAAACAAACACAGGAGUUCCUUCAUACCCAUCGAUGGCGAUAAAGGGGUGUACUACUCAGAGCGCUGGGAGCCCAAUGGGAGCACGCUUUACUUCCCGGUCACAGGGCGACGUCUGGUGAACAUGGACAAAUAUGACCAGAUCACCUUCGAGCAGGGAUGCUUCUUCAUCGGGGACGAGUCGGGCGGUUUCCGACAGAAGACAGAAGGUGUUCCAAGAGGUUGUCGGAUCUCUAGGGGGGUUGUGAGGAGGCAGAGCAGCACUCGGUGACCCGAAACAGACUGCUGUGUCGACAUGGUUCACUAGUCCUGUCCACUGCUGGAAAAGGGCAGACCAAAUGAAUCCUCAACAUAUCACUGUGCCUGAAUUUGUACAGUUGGCUUGUUUUGUGGCAUUUUAUCAGCUGCCCAAAUACUUUUAAUCAUUGAAGAUCAUAGAGAAUAUUGGUGGUCUUCGUAGCUCGGGUUGUUCACCGAGCUUGGCAUUUAGGUUGCAAACGUUUCAUCACCAGUCGAGGUGACAUCAUCAGCAAGUUGUGACUUGUACACUGAUGAUGUCACCUCGACUGGUGAUGAAACGUUCGCAACCUAAAUGUGAAGCUCGGCAAACAACCGAACACCUCAACUUUUAAUCAUUUUGUAUAUGUGAAUUGUCUAUAUAGUUUUUUUUUCCAAUCUGUAUUUUGUUUUUAGAACACCAUCCCUCUGCAGGGGUUACAAAAGAAUGGAAAGGAUCAACCACAUGUGUGCAAGAAACAUUCUAUGGUCUUUACAAAACUCGAAGAUCAAUCACCCAGAUAUUACUACUGGGUUCAUAUUCUUAAAGUGGAACCUGAAGAAAAUGCACUUCACUUGACAUUCCUACUUUACAGUGUUCAAUAGUAGGUAUAUUCUUUUUCCCAAAAGUGGGAGGUUGGCUGUUACUAUUUUCUGUUUGUAGGUGUCCUGACAUACAGUUAAAUGAGGACACACAGCUUAUAAUAAUCUCUAACUGUAAGCGUGUCACAUGAAGACACAUUUUUGGUCACCGGGGUGAUGAGGGAAUUCUUUAUGUUGUAUGGUAUGAGGAAAUGUUGGAUUGUAGCUCUGUAGAACAAUGGAGGAAAAAUGUUUUUUGAAGAAGAGCUUUGAAAACGGCACCUUAACUAUUUGAGAGAACUGUAAGCAGACGACCAAUGGUACUGCUCUUUUACCGAGGAAUUUAGUGUUAUAUUUACUGCUUUUUUCAAAUACAAUUAGGUAUUCGAAUUUUUGUCAGUUUUGAUAAAGCUUUGGUUUUUGUACAGUUUUUUUGAACAAUAAAGACUUUAAGCUCUAUUAAUGCA
rnacentral:lncRNA from 1 species